rnacentral:rRNA from 1 species
UUACGGGGUGCAGCAGGCGCGAAAACUGCACAAUGCUGGAAACAGCGAUGCGGGGAUUCCAAGUGCCGGCACUGAGUGUCGGCUGUUCCAUUGUCUAAAAAACAUAGGAAGUAAGGGCUGGGUAAGACGGGUGCCAGCCGCCGCGGUAAUACCUGCAGCCCGAGUGGUGGCCGUUAUUAUUGGGCCUAAAACGUCCGUAGCCGGCUGAGUAGAUGCCUGUGUAAAUCGAACGGCUUAACCGUUCGAACUGCGGGUAGACCGCUCAGCUUGGGACCGGGAGAGUCACGAAGUACUCCGGGGGUAGAGGUGAAAUUCUGUAAUCCUCGGGGGACUACCGGUGGCGAAGGCGUCGUGAUAGAACGGCCCCGACGGUGAGGGACGAAGCCCUGGGGCGCAAACCGGAUUAGAUACCCGGGUAGUCCAGGGUGUAAACGCUGCGGUCUUGGUGUCGGGAGUCCUACGCGGGCACCCGGUGCCGGAGAGAAGUUGUUAAGACCGCUGCCUGGGGAGGACGGCCGCAAGGUUGAAACUUAAAGGAAUUGGCGGGGGAGCACAAUCACUAGUGAAUUC